UACGGAGGGUGCGAGCGUUGUCCGGAAUCACUGGGCGUAAAGGGCGCGUAGGCGGCGCGGAUAGUCGGCGGUGAAAGCCCGGAGCUCAACUCCGGGUCGGCCGUCGAUACUUCCGGGCUUGAGCACUGUAGAGGCAGAUGGAAUUCCGGGUGUAGCGGUGGAAUGCGUAGAGAUCCGGAAGAACACCGGUGGCGAAGGCGGUCUGCUGGGCAGUUGCUGACGCUGAUGCGCGACAGCGUGGGGAGCAAGCAGG
rnacentral:rRNA from 1 species